CCAGAGUUCUCUAGUGCUAUAAAAGUCUUCCCACCAUGAGGUAAGGUCUUUUCCUUCGGCCAUGUGAUGCAUCUGGAACAGCAAAGGAUGUAAAAGGAUAAGAAGAAGACUCAAGAAUAUGACGUUCCUGCAACCAGUCAUAAAGAAUAUAAAAUGUAAUGACCCUGCCUUCACUCUCCUCAUUUGGAACUCUAGUAUUCCAUGAUGUUUGCAGGAUCCAUAGUUUAAGCAGAGGUGGAUAUUUUUACUUGGUUAUGCAGCUGCUGGUUGCUGAGACUAACUGAGGAAACAUGCAAAAGCAGUGAGCAUUUAAAUCAGGAUUGUCAAGUAUUGAUCGAUUGAAAAAAGUGUGAUCAAAUUUUCUCAGAUACCAAGCCCAGGUGGUUAUGCAAAAAAUUUUGAUCUGGCAAUGUUUACCUUCUAGCUAUGGAUAUCAAGCUUAACUGAGCGUCCUCUCUGGCUUGAACUGGCAAAGUCUACUUCCAAACUGUUGAUUGGUGGUUCUGCAACUAGUGAUAAAUGAGACCUAAAGCCCAGUUGGAGAAGGUUGGAGCUGGCCAAGGUGAUUCAUGGCCUUGCAGAGAAAUUCACUGCUGUGCUGUCAAUAAAAACAAAAAGAACAUGAGACGCAAGACAGAGGAUUAAUUAGAAUUUUUAUCAUGUAGUUUUACAAGCAAAAUUUCUACAAUAACUACAUUUGUCUGUCUUUUUUUGGAUCUCUAUUCUUCAGUGCAGCCAAAGUUAAUUCUGAGUUGAAAAAAGAGCAUUAUUUACUGAAUACUCUUGUAGUCUUUUCUUUGGUGCAGUGCAACUUAUUUUCCAGAAACAGGGCGGUGUUUCAGCCAUUCUUUGUCCAGCUGAAGCAACAUGCUUCUGCAUUUUGUAUGCAAAAUUGAAGUAAUUGCCUCUUAUUUAUUCAACAAAUUUUUUUCUGAACAAUUUUUUUGUGGUACAGAAUUUGAAAAUGGCUUUGAAAAAAGCAAACAUUUUACGACAUACUAAAAGCUUUUUCGUCUGACACUCCUCAGAGCAAAAACGUCACAAUAAGGUUCCGAAAGAACACGAUGGAAAAUAUAUACCCAGUUGUGGGUCGAAAUAGGCCAAUCAGAAAAACGCAAGCACAAGACCGGUAUAGUUGACCAAUCAGUGCCGCGAGCCUAAAGAAAAAUUACCAAUGGAGUCUAAGAGAGAAAACGAACUCCUUUUGUCUACACAAUGGCGGCUUUUUUGUUUUUAUGUAGAUUAACUCAAAAAUUGCUAGAUGGAAGGACGACCGGGCUCUGCCAAUUAUCCGAAGCAUGUCGUCAUUAUAGAGUUUUGCACAAUCUGGGUUGUCUAAAAGCAAGGAAGUGUUACCAAUCCAUGGUAGUUUCAAAUAAACUGGGCACUUUUGCGGACCAAACUUUUGAACAGCCGAAAAACUUGCGAUCUUCUCCUUAGUAUAAGAUAAAAUGACGUCUUCAGGAUAGCCGUUGUCCAAGAAGAUCGUUUUGAGUUUUUCCAGUUCAGCGUGCAGUUUAGAUGUCGAACAGAUCAUAAGUGACCUAUGUACUAAUGUUUUGACAAGGUUGACUUUGCGUUGUUUUGGGCAAAAUGAAUUCCAGCGUAUGUACUGACCGGUAAAAGUAGGCUUGCGAUAUACACUGGUAAGAAAUCCAGUGUUAGACUUUUCGACCAAAACUUCUAAAAAUGGCAAGAAAUCAUUUUCUUCCUUUUCAAACGUAAACUGGAGGGCUGGGUGUAGGCUAUUAAGAUGUUUUAGAAAAAUAUCACACUCAGCCUCUGUUUUGAAAAUGGUAUAUGUGUCAUCCACAUACCGAAAAUAGACACCUGGCUUUUGGUCGUAGUCAAACAAACGCUCUUCAUGAAAGCCAACAAAGAUAUUGGCCAAGGCAGGACCCAGAGGGCUACCCAUAGCGACACCAUCCUUUUGUUGGCACAUUUCAUUGUUAAAGCUGAAUUCAACUGAACGUGUUGCAGUUUCCAUCAGUUCAAUGAAUACUUCCUCUGGGAAUGGUGGGCUAUUGAGCUCGCUCCGGUACAAAGCGUCGGCACAUAUUUUCACUCAAAGGAACAUUUCCUGAUGGUCUCACUCAAAGGAACAUUUGUGAAAAGGCUACUAAUGUCGAAAGAACACAUGAAAGAUGUUUCGUUUUCGAUGUUCAAGUUUUGCAUGAACUCAGCGAACGUAAAAGAAUCCUUGAUGAAAUGUUUUGAAUAUUUUUGAAGAACAGGGUCCAAAACUUCACAAAGCCACUUAGCCAGUUCGUGUUGUGCUGAACCAAUCAUAGACAAGAUAGGUCUAAGUGGGACGUUCGGCUUGUGUAUUUUAGGGAGGCCAUACAUUUGUGGUCGUCGAGAGCCCGUGGGUCUUAUCCUAUCAUAAAUUUCUGUAGCCAACACUUUUGAGUUGACCAGUUCCAACAAACGUUUUUGGAGUUUCCGCUCUAGUUUGGCCGUUUUGUCCUGUGUUUCGACAUCACCCAAUUUAGCAAAUUUUUCUUUGUCGUGGAGAAUAAUCUCCAUUUUAUUGACGUAGUUCUUUUUGUUUAAAAUUACCACUCCAGACCCUUUAUCAGGUUUUGUAAUAAAGAUGUCAUUGUUAGCCCGUAGAGAUUUUAGUGCUUGGAAAUGCUCUCUAUGCAAAAGAAAAUCAGAGUGGUUGAUGGGAGAGCCACUAUAAGCAUAUGCCAAAUCGCUUAGUCGUGCUCGUAAUUUUUUUCCUUUAGACCUGGGACAAUUUGUGGGAGCCUAUAAAAAUUAUCUACUAGCGUUGUUAACUCUGAUGUAUAUCAUAUCUAGGAAUACAUCAAACCUGAAAGUAUUUUUUACUUUAUAAUGGUUUAUCUUUCUGUAGUAUAUCAGUCAAGCCCCCAAAAAUUUGUGUGUUAGUGUUAAGACUUUCAGGAUUAUUUGACAGUAUCCCAAAAGAAGACCCAGACGCAAUGUAAUGAUAGUUCUAUCAUUGCAAUUGAAAGAAACAGAUUUGUGAAAAUUGUUGAAGUUAUAGAGUAUAAGAUUUAAAAAUCAAUUGAUGGAGGAAUACCGUAAAUCCUUGAAUAAAUCCCCGCUGCUACCGUAAAUUCUCGAAUUGGCAUAUGUCACACGAUACAGGUCACGAAAGCACCUCUCCCCAUAGAAUCACGCUGGUCACCAAUGUUUAAGGGACAUUGAAUAACCCUGGUCCGUUUUAUCAGCAGUAGACAUUUAAUAAAAACCUUUUUUAUACCACUUGCAAUGAAGCUAUCGAUUACCACCAAGAAGUAUCUAGACCGGAUUGUUCUCGGUUCAAGUAGUAUUCUUGGUUCAAUAUUAAAGAACCUCAAUGAAAGGUUGUGUUCACAACUGAAGUUUCAAGCCUGGUUCCCAUAAAAUCGUGAGCUGGUCGGCGACAGUCUGCGUUGGUCUCUCGAUUUUAUGGGAACACUUUCUUCCGAUCAUUACGACUGCGCUGACUGUGAAUCGUAAAGGUCGGGAGAAAAAUUUAAAAGGGAGCACGGGUCACCGACGUCGUCGAUCAACUAUUGUUAAGAAACGAUCACCUGAUGUAAUUAACCAAUCAAAGGAAAAUGAUUUGGCGCCUUUAUAGGAAAUAUUGGACGCUACGGGGGUGCAUCCGGGACUUUUAGAGACACGAGGAGGUAAUGGAAGAGGAAAACUGAACAACGGACGAACUUUUGGUACUUUGUAAAUUAAAAUGAUAUGUUUUGUUUUGUUCAACGAAAAUUCGAAAAACAUCAGACGAAGAGUUUGAUUGAUGGUAGAUUCUUCACACGGCCAGGAGAGAAUUUACUAUACCUUAUUGCUUGCUGUUGUUUUGUUGUCAUGGGAAAAUUUUAUCUUUGAUCGUUAUGGACGAUGGAAGAAGAGAUCGGUGACACGUUCCCGACUCUUACGAUUUUAUGGGAACUUGACUUUAAAGUACUAAAAUAUUGAUUUAGCAAGCCGUAACAGGCCGUCAGUGGCAUUGAUGGCAUGGCAAAAAUCUUUUUUUUAAAUUUAUAAAUUUUGAUAACAAAAGCACAAAGGAUAUAUUGAAAUACGACUUAAUAUACAAAAUCAGUUAAUUAAAAUAAGAUUUCUUGAGAUAUAGCUAUGAUAUUUGAUAUAUGAAAUUUGCUUACGGAUUGUGUUGGUCUGAUUCAUAAGACGCAAUAACUGUCUUUUAAUUAGAAAAAAGCUUAUACUAGUGUGGCCAUAGCAAUUUGUAUCGGAUCUGCCUGUUUCUGCAAUUCAAGAGCUCUUUUAUGGUGCUCUUUUAGACAAUAUGUCCAAAUACAUACAAUUUGAGAAUAUAUUCUUAUGACGUCAUCUCUUUGGCACACUGUAUUGGCAGGACAGAAUGAGUCUUCUGCUUUGUUAUAUGACUGAUAACAUUUUUUCCUUUUCAUAGCUUGAAUUUCAUCGAGGGAGCGUUUGCAUUUUUGUCUCUCAUCAACAUUAGCCAAACAAUGAAGAUAUCUGGCAUGUGAUAGACUAUAUCUCAAUUGUUUUGAAUCAUCCCGAAAGCUAAUCACUGGAAAACAGCUUGAAUUUCAUCGAGGGAGCGUUUGCAUUUUUGUCUCUCAUCAACAUUAGCCAAACAAUGAAGAUAUCUGGCAUGUGAUAGACUAUAUCUCAAUUGUUUUGAAUCAUCCCGAAAGCUAAUCACUGGAAAACAGGUAUGAAACUGAACUUGUAGAGUGCUUUUUGUU